UACAGAGGGGGCCAGCGUUAUUCGGAAUUAUUGGGCGUAAAGGGCGCGUAGGCGGCUUUGCGUGUCUUUCGUGAAAUCCCUCGGCUCAACUGAGGACGUGCGGAAGAAACUGCAGGGCUGGAGUCCGGGAGAGGAGGGUGGAAUUCCCAGUGUAGCGGUGAAAUGCGCAGAUAUCGGGAAGAACACCCGUGGCGAAGGCGGUUCUCUGGGACGGUACUGACGCUGAGACGCGAAAGCGUGGGGAGCGAACAGG
rnacentral:rRNA from 1 species